GGGGAAUUUUGGACAAUGGGGGCAACCCUGAUCCAGCCAUGCCGCGUGAGUGAAGAAGGCCUUCGGGUUGUAAAGCUCUUUCGGACGGAAAGAAAACGGAUGGGUUAAUACCCUGUUCGGAUGACGGUACCGUCAUAAGAAGCACCGGCUAACUACGUGCCAGCAGCCGCGGUAAUACGUAGGGUGCGAGCGUUAAUCGGAAUUACUGGGCGUAAAGCGUGCGCAGGCGGCUUUUUAAGUCGGAUGUGAAAUCCCCGAGCUUAACUUGGGAAUUGCAUUCGAUACUGGGAAGCUAGAGUACGGCAGAGGGGGGUGGAAUUCCACGUGUAGCAGUGAAAUGCGUAGAGAUGUGGAGGAACACCGAUGGCGAAGGCAGCCCCCUGGGCCGAUACUGACGCUCAUGCACGAAAGCGUGGGUAGCAAACA
rnacentral:rRNA from 1 species